AUUCAAACUUUCCAGGGCCCGGCACGAUCGAUCGUCCGCCAUGAGCGAGGCCAAGACGCAUAUGAACAAGUGGAAUGAUGGAGGGAAAUAUCAGCACCUACCUCGACGCUCUGUGCGCUGUAUCGAGCAUGCAGCGAAUGUAUCGUGCGCCUUUUCUAGCGCGUUUCUGGGCGUCCGAAGAACUCGCACGGACGAUAUUUGGCAAACGUACACGAGAGAGCGCUCUGCUAGCCUAGAGUCACUGUUGUACAGAAGCAAGAAACUUGCAUUCGAUAACUUGGUCAAUGAGUUGGGAACGGAUAUUACCGACGAAUCGUAUCGCUUAAUUGUAUCCUCUGGUGCUGGACGUACAGUGCCACGCCGGGACGGCACGCUUGCUCCUUACACGAGAGCCUUCAACGAGUUCAGGAACCGAUUCUGUACGAUUCGCGUUGAUGCGUUCAAGACGACGACGUGCACGGAUCACGAGCACGGGUGCACGCUGAAACAGGUAUAGAAGAAGGGCGUGAAACGGAGCCGGAUGCGUGAGAUGAGGCGUGGUAAGCUGGCUGGAAGUCACAUGGCGUGGCAAUCGGAAGCUGAGGGGCUUUCUAUGGUCAGGCUCCGCUGCACCGAUGCGGAAAAGCAGUGUCCGAACCAAGAGCCGAACGCCUCAAUCAACAUCCGGAUCUGUCUCAUGCUUCGGGAGCGUCCGGCAGCUAAAGUCGAGCGCGCUUUCAAGGAAACGGUUUUGUAUUCAGUACGGACAGUGUGCUGAAAUUCCGAACACCCUCGAUUAAAAAAAGGUGACCAUGAAUGGGAGAGGGGACUGCAUUCUCCCCUGGAUCAAUGUACUGGUCAGGUACGAUUCGGCGAUAAAAGAAAGCUGGAGCGCCAUGUAUCUACACAUCGGGAACGUUUUUCCCGAGCAAUCGAUGGCACAGCAUGGUGCUCCAUUCUUCGAUAGUGCUACGUAUAAGCGAGAGACACCGCGUUGACAUAGCGAUGCUGUCCUGCUUUAGAUACGGCUCUAUUGUGUAGAGGCACCCCCGCUUGCUGCAGCGCGAGCGUUGCUCCUUCCUGAACACGGCCAAGACAGAUGUUGACGACAACAGGCCUCUGGGUGAAUGCCAUCCCGUCGUUGUCCAAUAGCAUUGUAUGCCCAUCAUCAACAAGCCAAGAUCCGGUCCGAGUUCUCGUGAGGGCAACGACCAGUACCCGCAGCGUAGCCAGCGAUCGAGAUUUGCAGUCGUUCACCUCAUCGCCACUACAGCGUUCCCGCCGAUGCGUCUCAGGCCAGGGAUCGUCGGCGAGCUGGUCGAGCGUGGUGCUCUCCUACGUCUUUUGCGUCUCCAGGUUAGCCCCGGCGGGGUAGAUCGGGCGCUUCGCGGCCUCCUCUCGUGCCGUGCGACGCGCCCAAGCAUCUGCAGCAAUGAGAUCAUCCAAAGUAGGUGUUUGUUUCCAGUCGCUUGUGUCAUGCCGCUGCAUGGUGCGCUCGAUGACCGCGGGAAUCCCCAUAAACUCCAGUUCGUUACGCAGGAAAAGCUCCACCGCGACCUCGUUCGCCGCGUUCAGCACCGCCGGCAUGGUACCGCCACGGCGUCCCGCAGCGUACGCGAGAAGCAUGCAUGGAUACUUGUCGUGGUCAGGCGCGCGAAAAGUUAGACUUCCCACUUGAACGAGAUCCAGUGGGCGAAACGUCUCAAUCCGAAGCCGAUGAGGCCAGGACAGCGCGUACAACAGUGGAAGACGCAUAUCUGGCCAUCCGAGUUGAGCGAGAACGCUCGUAUCCUGAAACUCGACUGCCGAAUGAAUGAUCGACUGGGGAUGGAUGACAAUUUCGAUGGCGUCGUAAUCGAUGCCAAAGAGAAAAUGCGCUUCAAUAACCUCCAGACCCUUGUUCAUGAGCGUCGCCGAAUCGCAAGUGAUUUUCGGACCCAUGUUCCAGUUCGGAUGCUUGAGCGCAUCUGCAGCAGUCACAUGCGCUAAGCGCGAAACAUCCCAGUCGCGAAAUGCACCACCAGACGCCGUGAGAAUGAUGCGCCGAAGCGCGCCAUCUGGCGCACCCUGAAGACACUGGAACAACGCAGAGUGCUCUGAGUCGGCUGGAGUCAGAUGAAUGCCGUACUCGUGAACUAGGGGCACGACCACGGGGCCGCCCGCGAUCAGUGUUUCCUUGUUCGCCAGCGCAAUGUCUUUUCGGGCCUUGAUCGCAGCAACUGUGGGCAAGAGACCCGCACAUCCAACAAGCCCAGUGACAACGACAUCUGCGUCACCGUAUCGCGCACACUCGACGACACCGUCUUCGCCAGCAACAAUGUGCGGCGGUUCCGGGACGCCACGCUGCCGCAGCGCCUCCCGAUAGGUCUCGAGGCGGGCAGUAUCACGUAUAGCGACAAGUUCGGGCGAAAACUC
rnacentral:misc_RNA from 1 species